GCUGGGAGCGGUAGUGCAUGCCUGUAGUCCCAGCUACUCCGAAGACUGAGGCGGGAGGAUGGCUUGAGUCCAGGAAUUCUGGGCUGUACUGCGCUAUGCAGAUCGGGUGUUCACACUAAGUUAGGCACCAAUAUGGUGACCUCCUGGAGCUGGAGACCACCAGAUUGCCCAAUGAGGUUGAACCAGUCCAGGUCAGAAACCGAGAAGGUCAAAACUUCCGUGCUAAUCAGUAGUUGGAUUGUGCCUGCCCUCUAGCCUGGGCAACACAGAGAGACCAUCUCU
rnacentral:SRP_RNA from 1 species